ACUAAUGGACUUAUCUACUCACUCGGAGUUGUUUAAAUCUCUCGGGACUCUUAUUAUUUCAUUAUACUAUUUGUUUAGUUCUCGACAAAGAAAUUAUUACGAUGUCCAGAGCAACUCGACGGACAAAGCCGGAGGAGACUCGGACUUGGACGUAGGAGAUACUUUGUGGAGCCCUGAUUAUGAUUCCCGGCGCACGCACUCGGACUCAAUCCUGUAUAAUAAAACUUCCCGGGUAUGGGCAUACAUGAGGAGAUCGGUACCGAGGAAGGGAAACGGCCAGAGACUUCAAUACCAUAGUCCCUUUGAUCUCUUUUACCGCCGGCGACGCACUCACUUGUCUCUUGUCUCUUGUCUCUUGUAUCAAGUCGAGCCGGCCAGUCAUCCCAAGCACAGCCUUUUAUUGGCCAACUUGCUACUCUUUUAAAUACUAAACUCACCGGUUCAGGAAAAAUAUUUAAACCGAGCUACCCCGAAACAUUUCCGGAUUUUUAAAGACUAACUUAACAAUUUUUGAAUUUAAAUCGUAGAAAAAAAAAAAAUUUUGGUAAUUAUUUACAAGCGGGGUCAACCCCAUUUUGAGCCAUAAGUAGGUGAAAAAUUAACAUUUUCAAUUUUUUUUCGAUUCUGCUUGUUUUUACGGCGCAUUUAUGAUAAAAAAUGUCGUG